rnacentral:lncRNA from 1 species
GCUGAGUUGUCUCUACCAAGCUGAAACAUACACAGAAACCUCCUUUAGCAAUUCUCCACGUGGACCAGUCACUGGAAUUGCAGUGCCCUGGGCAAGAGAUUAGUGAGAUUUCACCAGGCAGCUGUUGCAAAUGGCCAUGGUUUCCAUGAAGAGUGCACAGAUGGCUCCGUCCUCACAACUUCCUUAGAAAGAUGGAAAAUGGAACUUGUCUUGAUGACAGUGUCUGCUAGGUUCAUCAACUUCUGAAAUGUGGUGACAGAGCAUAGACUACAACUCAUGGGUAAAAGGACAUUGCUUAGAAGCAAAUAGUAAUAUUUGUCAGGGAAGAUCUUG